GCCGCGUGAGUGAUGAAGGUCUUCGGAUCGUAAAACUCUGUUAUUAGGGAAGAACAAACGUGUAAGUAACUGUGCACGUCUUGACGGUACCUAAUCAGAAAGCCACGGCUAACUACGUGCCAGC
rnacentral:rRNA from 1 species